UGACAACGGCGCGGCGCCAGGGACGCGGCGGGCCCGGGGUGCCGCGCAGAAAUCUGAAAAAAUGCCAGAAAGUCUCAUACCCGGCAAGACCUCCUCGAAAGGGCCAAAAACCUCAGCAAAGAAACAGAAAGGUGAAAACAAAGCUAAGGAGUCCUCAAAAGGAAAACGAACACAGCUUGGUAAAAAGGAUGAAGUUGAUCUUUCUAUGGCUAGUAUAGUUUAUCAAAAAGAUAACCAUUUAAAGUGAACGCCUACUAGUCGCCUUGGUUUGGCCUUCAUGAAGAAUGCUCUUACUAUGGCAGCUGAGACAUACAGCAUGAGUCUGCUAGCGUGGCAGUAUUGCAAAGGAAGAAAAGUCUUGGGCAGCAGGAUUCAACUAGCUGGGCCUAUAGUGAUCUUAAUCACUUGUAGC
rnacentral:lncRNA from 1 species